rnacentral:pre_miRNA from 1 species
AGUGAGAUAGCUGGGUCAUAUGGUGGUUUCAAUCUAGGUUUUUGAGGAAUAUCCAUACUGCUUUCCAGAGGUGUUUGUACUAAUUUUCAGUCCCAACAGCAAU